UGGUAUUGUGUGCGUAGGUAUUUUAUUU
rnacentral:piRNA from 1 species